CCUACGGGUGGCUGCAGUGGGGAAUAUUGGACAAUGGGGGGAACCCUGAUCCAGCCAUGCCGCGUGUGUGAAGAAGGCCCUCGGGUUGUAAAGCACUUUCAGUGAGGAAGAACGCCUGGUGGUUAAUACCCAUCAGGAAAGACAUCACUCACAGAAGAAGCACCGGCUAACUCCGUGCCAGCAGCCGCGGUAAUACGGAGGGUGCGAGCGUUAAUCGGAAUUACUGGGCGUAAAGCGCGCGUAGGUGGCUUGAUAAGCCGGUUGUGAAAGCCCCGGGCUCAACCUGGGAACGGCAUCCGGAACUGUCAAGCUAGAGUGCAGGAGAGGAAGGUAGAAUUCCCGGUGUAGCGGUGAAAUGCGUAGAGAUCGGGAGGAAUACCAGUGGCGAAGGCGGCCUUCUGGACUGACACUGACACUGAGGUGCGAAAGCGUGCGUAGCAAACAGGAUUAGAUACCCUAGUAGUC
rnacentral:rRNA from 1 species